rnacentral:lncRNA from 10 species
GCGCACGCGUAGGAGCGGGGCGCGGGCAGGAGGAAGAACCCCAUGACUGCACACAGCGAGGAUUCCUCCAUUUCUUCCCAACGUUACUCAGGUAACUGUGUACUGGGGAAGGGGAAACCCAGAGCAUUAGCAUGGCCCCUCCUAAGGGAGCCAGGUGAUAAAUGGAGUUCUAGCUUAGGUCCAGCUCACCCACAGUCCAAGGUCCCACCCUCAGUGGUCUCCAAAUGUAUAACUGUAAUUGACAUACUUAGUAAUUGACACAAGCCCUUUAUCCUGUGAGGUAAGAGCUAUCAUAGUGGGGAAAUCCAAGUGGAAGCCUCUGAAACUCCCCCUUCUGGCCAAGAUAGCAAAUAAAAAGCAGUAUUACAUCCCAGGGGAUGGCAAAGAUGAGUGCUGUUCUUAAAGAUCUAAAAGAUGCAUGGAUGAUCAUUCCUAUUAUAGUCCCAUUUAAUUCACCAGUCUGUUCCCCAUGGAAACUACCAGAAGUGCAACAACUAGUAGCCCCAUUGCAGCUUCCUUGCUAGGUGUGGUAUUGCUGCUAGAGAAGAUUAAUAUGAAUUCAGGGAGCCAGGCGAAAUGGCUCAUGCCUACAGUCCCAGCAUUUGGGAGGCUGAGGUUGGUGGAUCAUUUGAAGUCAGGAGUUUGAGACCAGCUUGGUCAACAUGAUAAACCCCAUCUCUAUUAAAAAUAACAAAAACUGGCCAGGCAUGGUGGCUCACGCCUGUAAUCCCAGCUACUCAGGAGGCUGAGGCAGGAGAAUCACUUCACCUGGGAGGCAAAGGUUGUGUGAGCCAAGAUCACGCCCCACUGCACUCCAGCCUGGGUGACAGAGUGAGAUUCCAUCUCAAAAAAAAUUGAAUUCAGGUACAUGUUAUGAAGCCAUUAAUCUGGUGAAUAUGCUCAUUUCCAUCUCAAUCAAGAAAGAGAAUCAGAAAGAGUUCACAUUCACAUGGAAGGGACAACAGUAUACAUUCACAACUUUCAUCAGAGCUCUGUCAUGACCAUCCAAAAAGAUCUGGAUCAUCGGACAUCCUGCAGAACAUCACACUGAUCCAGUACACUGAUGUCAUCAUGCUGAUCAGGCAGAUAGACAAGCGGUACCUAGCAUGCUGGAAGCCAAAGGGUGAGAGAGAAAACUACUGAAGAUCGAGAGGCCACCACAUUAGUAAAAUUUCUAGGAAUUCAAUGGUCUGGUGAAUACUGGGACAUACCUACAAAGCAAAGAUAAAUUAUUUAAUCUUUUACCUCCCACCAUGAAGAAGAAAUCCUAACACCUGAUAGGUAGAUCUGGAGGCAACAUAUUUCAUAGCUAGGAAUACUGCUCCAACCCCAUAUGCCAAUGCCAUGAAAGGCUGCCAAGGCCCAGAGCAAGAAAGGAUUCUGCAAAAGUGUCAGGCUGCUGGAGCCAUCAACCCCAUCCCUUGAGCCAUACAGUACUCAGCAGACCCUAUGGUGUCAGCCAUGUGAGUGAUAGGAAGAGAUGCCAGUGAAGAAUGCAAGCUCCAGUGGGAGAAUCCCUUAGGAUCUGGAGACUCCCUAAAAUUUGGGAGUGAAUUACAAUUAGCAGCAAAGGAUUAUUCACCUUCUGAAAACAGGUCCUGGUGUGCCUGUGCUACUAGCCCUCAUGUGACACACAACACCCAGACAUGAGACACCGAGUGAUCAGGCAGCUGGAACUGCCUGUCAUGAGCUGGGUCUGCCAGACCCAAUCAAUCAAUCUAACAUGGUGGGGACAUCCCGGGUCAAACAUGAGCACGCCUUGAGGACACCAGCAAGCUACACGGCAGGUAGCCCAGACCCCACAUCAUCCCCACUGAGGCACCAGCAGCCUCAGCUCAUUCGAAUGGCCACAUGGGGGACUCCCAUGUCACCAGCUGAAGAGGAUAAAACUGAGAUUGGUUUGGCUUGGCAUGUGGCAGAUGACUACAUUGGACCCUCUCCUGAAAGAUCAGGAAUAGAGACCAGUUCCAGAUAGAGAUUUGCCUUUCCUGCCCAUGGAUUCUCUGCUCAAGGGUCUAUGAAGUGUUUGAUUCACUGGCACAGGAUGCCACAUAACAUCACUUCUGACUCAACAGCCCAUCUUAUAGCAAUAACCCUGCAGGGGCGGGAGUGGGCUGGCCCAUGACCAGGGAUCCACUGUUAAUACUGCACACCACAUGACCCCAAAGCUGCUGGCCCGAUGAAGACAGAGCUGCAAUGCCAGUUCAGAAACAAGCCUUCACAAGGUUUCAGUACCAUCCUCCAAGAUGCAGUAUCACUUCAAAUCAAAUACUAUAUAUGGCACUGCAUCCCCACUGGGCAGAAUACACGGGUCUAGGAACCUAGGGGUAGAAGCUUAAGUGGCCCAGUGGCCCACUUAAAGAAUUUGUGCUUUCUGUCCCUCAACUCUGGGUUCCGUAAGUUUAGAGGUCCUUGUUCCCAAAGAGAAAAUACUUCUGCAAGGUGGCACAGCCAGAGUCCCUCAAAGUCGAAGCACAGUCGCCUCCUUGGCACUCUGGGUUUCUUGUCCUUGCAUCAAGG